CCCUUAGAUGUUCUGGGCCGCACGCGCGCUACACUGACGAUGGCAACGAGUUUUUCCUUCGCCGAAAGGUGUGGGUAAUCUUUUGAAACAUCGUCGUGCUGGGGAUAGAUCAUUGCAAUUUUUGAUCUUGAACGAGGAAUUCCUAGUAAGCGCGAGUCAUCAGCUCGCGUUGAUUACGUCCCUGCCCUUUGUACACACCGCCCGUCGCUACUACCGAUUGAAUGGUUUAGUGAGGACUCCUGAUUGGCGCCGCCGCCCCGGCAACGGAGCAGCGGACUGCCGAAAAGUUGUUCAAACUUGAUCAUUUAGAGGAAGUAAAAGUCGUAACA
rnacentral:rRNA from 1 species